rnacentral:rRNA from 1 species
AGAGUUCGAUCCUGGCUCAGGAUGAACGCUGGCGGCGCGCCUAACACAUGCAAGUCGAACGGCACCCACCUUCGGGUGGAAGCGAGUGGCGAACGGCUGAGUAACACGUGGAGAACCUGCCCCCUCCCCCGGGAUAGCCGCCCGAAAGGACGGGUAAUACCGGAUACCCCCGGGCGCCGCAUGGCACCCCGGCUAAAGCCCCGACGGGAGGGGAUGGCUCCGCGGCCCAUCAGGUAGACGGCGGGGUGACGGCCCACCGUGCCGACAACGGGUAGCCGGGUUGAGAGACCGACCGGCCAGAUUGGGACUGAGACACGGCCCAGACUCCUACGGGAGGCAGCAGUGGGGAAUCUUGCGCAAUGGGGGGAACCCUGACGCAGCGACGCCGCGUGCGGGACGGAGGCCUUCGGGUCGUAAACCGCUUUCAGCAGGGAAGAGUCAAGACUGUACCUGCAGAAGAAGCCCCGGCUAACUACGUGCCAGCAGCCGCGGUAAUACGUAGGGGGCGAGCGUUAUCCGGAUUCAUUGGGCGUAAAGCGCGCGUAGGCGGCCCGGCAGGCCGGGGGUCGAAGCGGGGGGCUCAACCCCCCGAAGCCCCCGGAACCUCCGCGGCUUGGGUCCGGUAGGGGAGGGUGGAACACCCGGUGUAGCGGUGGAAUGCGCAGAUAUCGGGUGGAACACCGGUGGCGAAGGCGGCCCUCUGGGCCGAGACCGACGCUGAGGCGCGAAAGCUGGGGGAGCGAACAGGAUUAGAUACCCUGGUAGUCCCAGCCGUAAACGAUGGACGCUAGGUGUGGGGGGACGAUCCCCCCGUGCCGCAGCCAACGCAUUAAGCGUCCCGCCUGGGGAGUACGGCCGCAAGGCUAAAACUCAAAGGAAUUGACGGGGGCCCGCACAAGCAGCGGAGCAUGUGGCUUAAUUCGAAGCAACGCGAAGAACCUUACCAGGGCUUGACAUAUCGGUGAAGCCGGAGAGAUCCGGUGGCCGAGAGGAGCCGAUACAGGUGGU